GGUCACUCCCUGGAGCUUGAGGAGGAGGACUGGUUGCCUUGCAGGUGGAGGGCUGUAAGCAUGCUGGACAUAGCAGUGCUGCAGGCAGAGACCCAGGGAACUAAAGGCAGUGCCUGGCAGGCUGCAGGGAUCUGUGGCUAAGGCCCUGAAGCAAGGGCAAAGAGGGUGCUGGGGCUGUGGGGAAGUGGCCCAGGGAGAUCUACAGAGGAGUUGGAGGGGGUGCAGCAAGGGGCAGCCAUCUACAGGAUCGCCAGGCUGGGACCUAGAGUAGUGGGUGGGCCUGGGUCUCCCCUGCCCCCAUUUGCCACUGAGGAGGUGGCUGGAUUGAGGGACUGUGAUACUGACCCCGGGAAGGAGGGAACACAGAGUGUGGCACAGCUGGAGGGCUGUGUUGUUGAAGAGGAUGCUGCAGUCCUUGGUGAAAUGUGGGUCUUAGAGCAGGAGUGAUGGCAGUGUGGCACCCCCUGGAGAGGGUGCAGUACAAUGCAGAGCUAAUUCCCAUGACAGCUGGAAGGAGGAGCCAGAGUGGUGGCAACAUAUUGACAUCCUCAUGGCUCAUCAGCAAGGCUGGAACCUUUUGAUCCUCCACCUGGACCUCUGUCACUUCAGGACAUGGACUGCACAUCUCAUGGAGGAGGAUGUGUAAUAGCUGCCUUAAGGGGGGGGAAUCAGGCUGGUCUGGUGAAAAAUCGAAGGUGUCCUGGGGCAGGAUUUCUGCACAGCUUCCAAACACUUGCUGCCACGCCCAGUUUCCUUAAUACAGUCAAGCAAAGCCACACAAAACAACCUUUCAGCUCAUUCCUUUUCUCUCGGGCUUCAGGGCCACCCCUGAAGGGUCUCCCGCACACCUGCUUCUGGUAGCUUCCCAGUUCAGGUCAGCUAUGCUCCCUUCCUGAAGCAGUAGCCCCAGGGCUGCUUCCAUAAGCACCUGGCCCUUCACGCCAGGGACCCACCACAGGAGUUAGUUCCACUCCACAAUGGCUUCCCUUCCCCAGGCACAGCCAGUCCCACUCACUCCCUUCCAUCUCCUAUUUCCUAUUCUCUGGCAGCCCUUUAUAGGCCCCAGUGUAGUCUAGCCCCCUUUAAUUGGAUGGAUUGGGCUCACCAGCUCUGACACACAGGCACUGAGCCCAGUUCUGCUCACAGGGACCAGCUACCUUGUGAUGGGAAAAACCACUAUUAAAAAAGGAACGGAGAUAGGAAUUUCAAGUGCUCUUUGUUAAGGAUGCUUUGAGUGUUCAGAAGAAGCCAAAUUUUACUGUAGCCAAGCACACAUUAGGCAGAUUUUUUUUUCUUAGCAACAGUAUGGCUACGUAGAUGAGACAUGGGUUUGCCAUUCACAAAACUGGGCUGUCACAGGGCAGAUCUGAGAGUUUAUACGAAGUCACCUAUCUGUAAAAAGGGUGUUUCGUUACCAAUCUGAUCCCCAAAGUGGAUGGGGAAGUAUGGUUGCUUACCUCCUAAGGACUUGCCCAAUAAUAGAGGGUUGGGAAGUACGCAGAAUUCUUUAUACUGCGCAGUGGAAGAGGUGAGACUAGAAUGCACCAAAGGUAUUUUGAUGUGCUGCUUUCCCCAAAGAACAUCCAUUUUGCUGGUGUCCUGUCUGGAGCUCUAGCCUGCGUGCAUCAUAUUGAAUGUGACGUAAUAGGCAGAGCGGGGCUGCAGAGUGUGCAGGGUUAUCACAGAAUUAAGAGCAAGAAUCAAACAAAUUCUGGUGCACAAGUACAGGCAUGCUUCCCCCAUAUCUAUAAAUUGGCUUAAUCUGGACGGAUUUUCAUGGGGGUCAGUGUAAGACACCUCUCUGAUCUCUGAAUUGUUCCUCUGACAAAUUUCAAGUGCCAUCUCCUAACCAUGAUGGUGCUAAAGCUAUUUACAUUUUUCUGACUAGUUUUGUGUUUAACAUUGGCAAAACUCUCAGCAUUUCAAACAGCUGAACAAGUUUUGCUCAGUCUCUCCAAACUCCCAACCUGGUGCAGAGACCAAGCCUGGAAAAUUUCAACUCAAAGACAUAAAUAACUGAAACAUAGGAUUGUGAUGGAAAGUGAGGCAAUUGCAGAAGAGCAUUAAACAUGUCCUUAAACUUUAAAAAUUUUGGGACUCAAGUUAACCAAAGCAAAUGCUGCCACCAACCUAAAUACUCAAUCACGCCCACAGACCAUUAAGCCUCCGUUUCACAUCCUCUUAUAAGGAGCAGCUCCAGCAGCCUAGUGCCUUCUAAUGCCAGGCUGGGAUUGGUUCCGCAGUGAUUGGCAGAGGAGGGCAUCACCUACACUGUUUCCUCCAUCACUGAGGUGUUCCUUGGAGGUCCCCUGUGCAAAUACUGACCCAGCCUGCCACUGCUUAGUUUUUGAGCUCUGGCAGUGAUACAGCAAAAGGUGGGACAUCUGCAAGAUAUAAACGUGGUGUAAAACCUCCGGACAAAGCACUGAGGCAAUCCUAUAGGGAAUAAUCAAGGGAAAGACGUCUAUUGAGCAAUUUCACAUUGUUUUUGAUGAUUCUAUGAAAUGUCUGAUAAAACCAAAAAAAACUAUUCAUGGCAGCAGCUUGAUUAAAACCUUGUCGUGGCCAAGUUUCUGCUCCGAUAGCUUGAUUUUCAGGCAGACUCCUGUCCAGCUGCCAGUAAAUGGACAAUCCACAAUUUGACCAAAAAGAAACUAGGUUUACUGUAGCAUGACCAUUAGUAAAUAAGCAUAAUACAAGCUGCAGCAUAUGGAAGUAAUUUUCUAAGAGGAGUACACUGCUGUAAAGAAUGAAAGUUGGUAGGGAGAAAAAAGGGAGACUAUAUCUCUUUAAAAAAUAGUAGUACAUGGGGCAUGCACUAAAAUAUACAGUAAUUAUGGGGUAUAGCCUUAGGCUAGAGAAAUAUAAUAAUUGAGAAGGAGGAAUUUGAGUGAAGUUGGGGAAUCUUAGCAUUCUGCUUACCAGCUGCAACUGUGUCAUGCCAAAACACAUGUUUCUGAUAAUACAUGGAGACCUUCUCUGUUCCUUUGAUCCAUUCGCAUGUUACAACUAUAGUUGCCUUCUCCAGCAGUAACCUUAGGAAAGUAAAUAAAAUCAAAACCUUACUUAAAACACGGCCUACUUGCAAAACACAGUGUAUGCUCUUAGUCACUGUAAUUAAAAAAUCUGCACACUGCUGUUUUAAGAUGAAAUGUGAGUA